UGAAAGCCCCCGGCUCAACCGGGGAGGGUCAUUGGAAACUGGGAGACUUGAGUGCAGAAGAGGAGAGUGGAAUUCCAUGUGUAGCGGUGAAAUGCGUAGAUAUAUGGAGGAACACCAGUGGCGAAGGCGGCUCUCUGGUCUGUAACUGACGCUGAGGCUCGAAAGCGUGGGGAGCGAACAGGAUUAGAUACCCUGGUAGUCCACGCCGUAGACAGAUGAGUGCUAAGUGUUGGAGGGUUUCCGCCCUUCAGUGCUGCAGCAAACGCAUUAAGCACUCCGCCUGGGGAGUACGAUCGCAAGGUUGUAAACUCAAAGGAAUUGACGGGGGCCCGCACAAGCGGUGGAGCAUGUGGUUUAAUUCGAAGCAACGCGAAGAACCUUACCAGGUCUUGACAUCCUUUGACCACUCUAGAGAUAGAGCUUCCCCUUCGGGGGCAAAGUGACAGGUGGUGCAUGGUUGUCGUCAGCUCGUGUCGUGAGAUGUUGGGUUAAGUCCCGCAACGAGCGCAACCCUUAUUGUUAGUUGCCAUCAUUUAGUUGGGCACUCUAGCGAGACUGCCGGUGACAAACCGGAGGAAGGUGGGGAUGACGUCAAAUCAUCAUGCCCCUUAUGACCUGGGCUACACACGUGCUACAAUGGGAAGUACAACGAGUUGCGAAGUCGCGAGGCUAAGCUAAUCUCUUAAAGCUUCUCUCAGUUCGGAUUGUAGGCUGCAACUCGCCUACAUGAAGCCGGAAUCGCUAGUAAUCGCGGAUCAGCACGCCGCGGUGAAUACGUUCCCGGGCCUUGUACACACCGCCCGUCACACCACGAGAGUUUGUAACACCCGAAGUCGGUGAGGUAACCUUUUGGAGCCAGCCGCCUAAGGUGGGAUAGAUGAUUGGGGUGAAGUCGUAACA
rnacentral:rRNA from 1 species